rnacentral:rRNA from 1 species
UGCAUGUCUAUAGUAUAUAGCGACAUAUAUCCGUGUAAACUGCGAAUGGCUCAUUAUAUCAGUUAUCGUUUAUUUGAUAGUACCUUACUACUUGGAUAACCGUGGUAAUUCUAGAGCUAAUACAUGCUAAAAAUCUCGACUUCGGAAGGGAUGUAUUUAUUAGAUUAAAAACCAAUGCCCUUCGGGGCUCACUGGUGAUUCAUGAUAACUCCUCGAAUCGCAUGGCCUUGUGCCGGCGAUGGUUCAUUCAAAUUUCUUCCCUAUCAACUUUCGAUGUUAGGAUAUUGGCCUACCAUGGUUGCAACGGGUAACGGAGGGUUAGGGUUCGACUCCGGAGAAGGAGCCUGAGAAACGGCUACUACAUCCAAGGAAGGCAGCAGGCGCGCAAAUUACCCAAUCCCGACACGGGGAGGUAGUGACAAUAAAUACUGAUACAGGGCUCUUUUGGGUCUUGUAAUUGGAAUGAGUACAAUUUAAAUCCCUUAACGAGGAACAAUUGGAGGGCAAGUCUGGUGCCAGCAGCCGCGGUAAUUCCAGCUCCAAUAGCGUAUAUUAAAGUUGUUGCGGUUAAAAAGCUCGUAGUUGAACCUUGGGCCUGGCCGGCCGGUCCGCCUCACCGCGUGUACUGGUCCGGCCGGGCCUUUCCCUCUGUGGAACCCCAUGCCCUUCACUGGGCGUGGUGGGGAGACAGGACUUUUACUGUGAAAAAAUUAGAGUGCUCCAGGCAGGCCUAUGCUCGAAUACAUUAGCAUGGAAUAAUAGAAUAGGACGUGUGGUUCUAUUUUGUUGGUUUCUAGGACCCGCCGUAAUGAUUAAUAGGGGAUAGUUCGGGGGGCAUCAGGUAUUCAAUUCGUCAGAAGGUGAAAAUUUCUUGGGAUUUAUUGGAAGACUAAACUACUGCGAAAAGCAUUUUGCCCAAGGGAUGUUUUUCAUUUAAAUCAGGAACCAAAAGUUUAGAGGGAUCCGAAAAAACGAAUCAGAAUACCCGGCCGC